rnacentral:rRNA from 1 species
AGUGAACGCUGGCGGCGUGCCUAAUACAUGCAAGUCGAACGGAGUGGCGCACGGGUGAGUAAUAUAUAGCUAAUCUGCACCUUGCAGGAGGCCAAAAGUUAGAAAUGACUGCUAAUACUCCAUAGCAAGGGAUGAGACUAUAUCGUAUCAGCUAGUCGGUGGGGUAACGGACAACCGAGGCUAUGACGCGUAACUGGCCUGAGAGGAUGAUCAGUCACAUUGGAACUGAGACACGGUCCGAACUCCUACGGGAGUCGACAGUAGGGAAUACUGCGCAAUGGGGGAAACCCUGACGCAGCAACGGCGCGUGGAGGAUGACACUUAUCGGAGCGUAAACUCCUUUUGUUAGGGAAGCGGUACCUAACGAAUAAGCACCGGCUAACUCCGUGCCAGCAGCCGCGGUAAUAC